rnacentral:pre_miRNA from 13 species
GGCCCUGAUUGUCCAAACGCAAUUCUUGUUUUUUAAUUUAUCAAGGGCUGUGUAUGGACAUCAUUGCU